rnacentral:rRNA from 1 species
UGCAUGUCUAAGCACAAGCCGAAAAUGGUGAAGCCGCGAAUGGCUCAUUACAACAGCCUUCGUUUAUUUGAUCUUGAAAUCCUACUUGGAUAACUGUGGUAAUUCUAGAGCUAAUACACGCACACGAGCUCUGGUCUUGCGGCCGGAGCGCAUUUAUUAGUACAAAACCAAUCGGGCUUCGGCCCGUUGUCUGGUGAAUCUGAAUAACUGAGCCGAUCGCACGGUCUCUGCACCGGCGACGCAUCAUUCAAGUGUCUGCCCUAUCAACUUUCGAUGGUAGUUUAUGUGACUACCAUGGUUGCAACGGGUAACGGAGAAUAAGGGUUCGACUCCGGAGAAGCAGCCUGAGAAACGGCUACUA